CCUACGGGAGGCAGCAGUGGGGAAUUUUGGACAAUGGGGGCAACCCUGAUCCAGCCAUUCCGCGUGAGUGAAGAAGGCCUUCGGGUUGUAAAGCUCUUUCAGCGGGAACGAAACGGUACGCUCUAAUAUAGUGUGCUAAUGACGGUACCCGCAGAAGAAGCACCGGCUAACUACGUGCCAGCAGCCGCGGUAAUACGUAGGGUGCGAGCGUUAAUCGGAAUUACUGGGCGUAAAGCGUGCGCAGGCGGCUUUUUAAGCCAGACGUGAAAUCCCCGGGCUUAACCUGGGAAUGGCGUUUGGAACUGGAAGGCUAGAGUGUGUCAGAGGGGGGUAGAAUUCCACGUGUAGCAGUGAAAUGCGUAGAGAUGUGGAGGAAUACCGAUGGCGAAGGCAGCCCCCUGGGAUAACACUGACGCUCAUGUACGAAAGCGUGGGUAGCAAACAGGAUUAGAUACCCUGGUAGUCCACGCCCUAAACGAUGUCAACUGGUUGUUGGGAGAGUGAAAUCUCUUAGUAACGAAGCUAACGCGUGAAGUUGACCGCCUGGGGAGUACGGUCGCAAGAUUAAAACUCAAAGGAAUUGACGGA
rnacentral:rRNA from 1 species